CGAUAUGUUGUGCUCGUCGGUGCCGGCCUCGCGGUCGGCUGAAAAGGGAAGCCGGUGCGGACCACGGUCCAAUUCCGGCGCUGCCCCGCAGCGGUAAUGGAAACGAACCCGUCAUGGCACUGGGGCGCACGUCCCGGGAAGCGGCGGCAGUAGGAGGAGCCCGGCUCCGCGUCCUCAGCCCGAAGACCUGCCGACAGCCACGCCAAGCA
rnacentral:ncRNA from 2 species